AUUGAACGCUGGCGGCAGGCCUAACACAUGCAAGUCGAACGAGUGGCGGACGGGAGAGAAAUGUCUGGGAAACUGCCUGGUGGAGGGGGAUAACUACUGGAAACGGUAGCAAAUACCGCAUACCCUCAGAUGCGCCCAGAUGGGUGUCGCUUGUGGGGGGGGUAACGGCUCCCCAAGGCGACGAGCCCUAGCUGGUCUGAGAGGAUGACCAGCCACACUGGAACUGAGACACGGUCCAGACUCCUACGGUAGGCAGCAGUGGGGAAUAUUGCACAAUGGGCGCAAGCCUGAUGCAGCCAUGCCGCGUGUGUGAAGAAGGCCUUCGGGUUGUAAAGCACUUUCAGCGGGGAGGCGUUACCCGCAGAAGAAGCACCGGCUAACUCCGUGCCAGCAGCCGCGGUAAUAC
rnacentral:rRNA from 1 species